GGCAGGGAAGGCUCCUCCUUGGUCAGUUAGGACCUGGAUUUUCUUUCUCCUUUUGCUACUGCAGCCUUGCUUUGACCAUAGGUGCGUGGAGUUUAGCCUCUGUGCUUUUAGGACUUUCUUUUGCUCUUCAAGUUGGAGCUUGGUAUCUUUGGAGACGUUACCGAUACCUUUGGUUUGCGUCCAAUCCCUCAGUGGCUAAAAUCAUCUUGAGCAGUGCUUCGCUUCCUCGUUGAGCUCAUGAGAUUUUUACUGAUGUUAGCUGUGUUAAAGCAUGUAACGAUGUCCGCUGUGCAGUGGAUCUUGCUCGACUAAACUGGGCUUUUGACUCUUCUUGUCUCCGGUGGUAUGGCCUCCUUGCUUAUUCUCUUGAUUUGGCGAAAUCAU
rnacentral:misc_RNA from 1 species